rnacentral:rRNA from 1 species
UCGGUAACGGAUGGCUGUGCGUCCCAUUAGCUAGUUGGGGGGGUAACGGCCCACCAAGGCGUCGAUGGGUAGGGGCCCUGAGAGGGGGAUCCCCCACACUGGUACUGAGACACGGACCAG